GAUGAACGCUGACAGAAUGCUUAACACAUGCAAGUCUACUUGAUCCUUCGGGUGAUGGUGGCGGACGGGUGAGUAACGCGUAAAGAACUUGCCCUGCAGUCUGGGACAACAUUUGGAAACGAAUGCUAAUACCGGAUAUUAUGUGAGUUUCGCAUGAAAUUCAUAUGAAAGCUAUAUGCGCUGCAGGAGAGCUUUGCGUCCUAUUAGCUAGUUGGUGAGGUAACGGCUCACCAAGGCGAUGAUAGGUAGCCGGCCUGAGAGGGUGAACGGCCACAAGGGGACUGAGACACGGCCCUUACUCCUACGGGAGGCAGCAGUGGGGAAUAUUGGACAAUGGACCAAAAGUCUGAUCCAGCAAUUCUGUGUGCACGAUGAAGUUUUUCGGAAUGUAAAGUGCUUUCAGUUGGGACGAAGUAAGUGACGGUACCAACAGAAGAAGCGACGGCUAAAUACGUGCCAGCAGCCGCGGUAAUACGUAUGUCGCAAGCGUUAUCCGGAUUUAUUGGGCGUAAAGCGCGUCUAGGCGGUUUGGUAAGUCUGAUGUGAAAAUGCGGGGCUCAACUCCGUAUUGCGUUGGAAACUGCCAAACUAGAGUACUGGAGAGGUGGGCGGAACUACAAGUGUAGAGGUGAAAUUCGUAGAUAUUUGUAGGAAUGCCAAUGGGGAAGCCAGCCCACUGGACAGAUACUGACGC
rnacentral:rRNA from 1 species